rnacentral:rRNA from 1 species
UACGUAGGGUGCAAGCGUUAAUCGGAAUUGCUGGGCGUAAAGCGUGCGCAGGCGGUUAUGCAAGACAGAUGUGAAAUCCCCGGGCUCAACCUGGGAACUGCAUUUGUGACUGCAUGGCUAGAGUACGGUAGAGGGGGAUGGAAUUCCGCGUGUAGCAGUGAAAUGCGUAGAUAUGCGGAGGAACACCGAUGGCGAAGGCAAUCCCCUGGACCUGUACUGACGCUCAUGCACGAAAGCGUGGGGGGCAAACAGG